UUUGGACGGCUGGAUAUCAGACGAGGGGACUGGACGACAGAAGGCAGCCGCAAAAAGAGAGGAGGCAACUAUUGGGCGCAACAUUCAAGAGGAGAAGAAACAGUUAGACCGAGAAGCAAAAGAAGGAAAAAAAGGGAGAAGCUCGGAGUUAAGAAGAUUUAAAAUAUUAAAGCUUUCGGUUCUGCCAAAAAAUAUAAACAAUGGAUUAAAGAGUUUAACUAUCCAGUUGGCUUUGUCAAAGUGCGGACAACUAAUGGCCAAGUGUUUGAAGUCAAGGUAUAUGAUUUAGGAAACUUCUGUUAUUUCUACAAUGGGUGGUAUUCCGUAGUUGAAACUUUGAAACUACAAUCUGGAUCGUGGCUCGUAUUUCAGUAUGAAGAAGCAUUAGAAAGUUUCCGGAUAUUUUAUUUCUAUGACAAUAUUGCAUUUGCUCCAUCUGAUUAUUUUUACUACAGACCCAAUGGCGCUUUUGAUAAACCUGAUGCUAUGCAUAUCAAUCGUUUAUUUGUACAUCACAAGAUGGACAAUACCAUUCCAAACUAUCCGGUUGUUAUUAGAGGUCCUGGGAAGCAUAAAUUGUUUGUUCGAAUGGAUGUUAUUGACAAUCAGCUUUACAUAACAACUGGAUGGGAUCGGAUUAAGAAGAAAUUGUCAUUAAGUGAUGAGCAUCUGCUUGUGUUUGAAAUGAUUGAUCUUCACACUUUUGAUAAGCCCGUUUUCAAUUGUUCCAAGGAUGCUGCUUAGUGUUGCCACCGGAAUUAUAUGCUGUUGUUAAGGAAAAAGUUGUAGAAGAGGUUAUCAGUAUUUCUGAUGGUGAAGAUGUGGAUGACAUAACUAAGGGCAAUGAAGCUGAUAUGCUCCCUGUAACCACGAACGACAAAACUAUUCCAGUAGUUUUCCGUGUGGACAAUCAUUUUGUAAGUUUCUGUAACCAAAAGCGCAUUAAAAAAGCUCUCGCUAAAAAACUUGGCUUGGAUAGGAAGAGGAGUUUAAAGAUUGUAGAUGCUGCUGGAAAUGUUUGGGAUGUUCGAGUUGGUAUCGAGUCUCCUGAUGGUCAGUUUUACAUAAAAGACAUGAAACAGUUUGUGAAGGAUAAAAAGAUGGUUCCUCGUGAAGAGUUUACCCUUAAGUUCGUCAUGGGUAAAGGUAUUUUCUUGUUUGACUGAAUGGUUGUGGGGCCUUUGCGGAUAAUGUUAUUAUGUAUGGAAACAAUGUUUUUUGUUUGUGGUUGUUAGUUUGCUUAAAACUCUUUUGUAAAAGUUGAUAGUGUAGUUUUGACCCUAGUGGUACGAAGGGUGUAUGUAUAGAUAAGUUUUUGGUUGCAUAUGUUACUGAAACACUGCAGACUAUGUAUUAAGAACAUGUAGUGUUCCUAAUGACUAACGGUUGAAAGCAUUACUUGCAUUA